UGGAGCACAAGGCCGGUUUACCCCCGUUUUGAUUUCAAGCUUGAUAUCUCAAGCUACCAGUCACCACUCCUCACCAAACUCCAUCCACAAGCUCGCCUCAACGUCCUGAAGCUCCCAGAAGUGGCCUUGCACGGCGGCGCUACUCGUGGUGGCGGCUGGAAGCCAGACCCGAUCAAAUCGAAAACCGAAGCUUCGAGCAAUAUAUCUCGCGCUACAGGACGUUGUUUUGAGUGUUUCUUGAACUGGUGAACUCAGAGUGAGGAUCUGAACAACUUUCCAGAAGGUAUCGAGGCCUGAAGUUGCAGUUUUUACGUCGAACUAGGAGCUCGCCGGUUUCUGGGUUUUUCCGGCCAACCGACUGGUUUGAGGUGAUCGACGGUUUGAUUUGGCGGACGAUUCGUGAAAGUGUAUUUUGAGCUGUUAAGAAGACGCAGCGGGAAUUUAGAGCGGGAAAUCCUACAGGUCAGGAGAACCAGGACGGUGAUCGGGCUGCUUAGAGUAGUGUUAUGUGAAUUACAGCAUUAUAUUGUGAGGUUUGUUAUGCUCAUUUAGAGCUUUGCAAUUUUACUUUGUAAGAGUGAAUUGUAAUAAUUAACUCGAGGGUUUCGAGUUUUUGUGUUGA